rnacentral:snoRNA from 1 species
CCCAGCUGGAGGCAAUGGCCUAGGACACCUUGUACCUAGGCAAGUGUUACACUGCUGGGAGAAAAGCAGCGAGUAGCUGGUGGGCAUUCCGGACAUGAUUAAUGCCAAAUUUGUGUUAAUUACAGUGUGCCAGCAUA